rnacentral:rRNA from 1 species
AUUGAACGCUGGCGGCAGGCCUAACACAUGCAAGUCGAGCGAGCGGCGGACGGGUGAGUAAUGUAUGGGGACUGCCCGAUAGAGGGGGAUAACUACUGGAAACGGUGGCUAAUACCGCAUACUGUCGGAUAACCCAUAUGGGAUUAGCUAGUAGGUAAGGUAAUGGCUCACCUAGGCGAAGAUCCCUAGCUGGUCUGAGAGGAUGAUCAGACACAGUGGGACUGAGACACGGCACAGUCUUCCACGGGGGCAGGAGGGGGGAAUAGUGCACAAGGGGCGAAAGCCUGAUGCAGCUAUGCCGUGUAUGAAGAAGGCCCUAGGGUUGUAAAGUACUUUCAGUCGGGAGGCGUUACCGACAGAAGAAGCACCGGCUAACUCCGUGCCAGCAGCCGCGGUAAUAC